rnacentral:rRNA from 1 species
CUACGGGAGGCAGCAGUAGGGAAUUUUCCACAAUGGGCGAAAGCCUGAUGGAGCAACGCCGCGUGCAGGAUUAAGGCCUUCGGGUCGUAAACUGCUUUUAUAUAUGAAGAUUUUGACGGUAAUAUAUGAAUAAGGAUCGGCUAACUCCGUGCCAGCAGCCGCGGUAAUACGUAGGUGGCGAACGUUAUCCGGAAUCACUGGGCGUAAAGGGUCCGCAGGUGGCAUGUCAAGUCGAUUGUGAAAGCUCCCGGCUCAACUGGGAGAGGACGGUCGAAACUGGCAAACUAGAGUCCGACAGAGGUCGGCGGAAUUCCCGGUGUAGUGGUGGAAUGCGUAGAUAUCGGGAGGAACGCCAAAAGCGAAAGCAGCCGGCUGGGUCGAGACUGACACUGAGGGACGAAAGCGUGGGUAGCGAACAGGAUUAGAUACCCCAGUAGUCC